CUUGACCGAGCCGAGCAGCAGCGGCGCCGAGUUGCCCCGGUCCUGCCCGUACGUGGCCAGCAGCGCCUGCGCCUC
rfam:Micromonospora echinofusca strain DSM 43913 genome assembly, chromosome: I